rnacentral:ncRNA from 1 species
AAAGUUUUGGUCCUGGACUUAUCGUUGUUUUUUACCAAGAUUAUACAUGCAAGCCUCUACAAACCAGUGAAAAUGCCCACAACCCCCUAAAAAGAAGCAUCGGAGCAGGCAUCAGGCACUUCUAAAAAGCCCACAACGCCUUGUCACACCACACCCUCACGGGAAAAUCAGCAGUAAUAAAUAUUGGGCCAUGGACGAAAGCCCGACCCAACUAUGGUCUCUAGGGCUGGUUAAUUUCGUGCCAGCCACCGCGGUUAAACGAAAGGCCCAAAUCAACGAUCAAACGGCGUAAAUUGUGACUAGAAGCCUAAGCCCAAAAUAUUAAAACCCAGAAAUUAGUGAUAAAAUACUUAAAACACGGGGAAAGUCUAAACUAAUAUUUUACAUCUAUUUGACCUCACGAAAGCUUAGAAACAAACUAGGAUUAGAUACCCUACUAUGCUAAGCCCUAAACACUGAAAAGCCACCACCAGACUUUUCCGCCAGAAGACUACAAGUGAAAAACUUAAAACUCAAAGGACUUGACGGUGUCCCAAAUCGACCUAGAGGAGCCUGUCCCAUAAUCGAUACCCCCCGUUUCACCCAACCCCAACUAGUAAACUCAGCCUAUAUACCGCCGUCGACAGUCUACCCCAUGAGGGAAAAAAAGUAAACAUAAUAGUUCACCCACUAGCACGUCAGGUCAAGGUGUAGUAAAUGUUGGGGCGGAGAUUGGCUACAUUUUUUAACUUAAAAUACACGAAAUGCAACAUGAAACCCUGCAUGAAGGUGAAUUUAGUAGUAAAGUAGAUAAGAGUGCCUACUUAAACAACGCUCUGGGACGCGUACACACCGCCCGUCACCCUCCUCAACUACACAUUACCGCAUAUCUAAUAAAAAUGCCCAAACCAGAGGAGGCAAGUCGUAACAUGGUAAGCGUACCGGAAGGUGUGCUUGGACUAAC